rnacentral:lncRNA from 1 species
AAUGACAUGUUUAGAAUAGUGUCUUAUAUGGCCAAGGGACACUGAAAUGACUCCAGCAUCUUUUCAACUCAAGAAACCUACACCCAACACGCAGUGUUCAACUCAAAUGCUCUUCUUCCCUGAAUAUUCCCUGACCCACUUGGCCCCGACCACUUCUUCCCUGAGCUUUCUCAGCCCAUUACUAAGAUCUUCUUAUAGUUUUACUCUUAUCCUUUCGCGCAUUGUUUUUUCUGUGUCCAUCUUUGUGUGUCCAAGAUUGUUGAGAAUAUCUGACACCCAGUAGGCAUGGGAUAAGUGUAUAUUGAUUGACAAGCCUUGGUAUAUGGACUCAAGCUUGAGUGACUGGUAGGAAUGGAGAGCGGGAGAGAGGUGUCAAAGAGAUUAUAAAGGAAAACCUCUUAAAACUUAAGGGGAAAAGCACAAGAAGGGAAGAAUGUUCUAAAGAUGAUUUUUAAAGUGCCACUGAUUGAAUUUAGGAGAAAUACAAGUGAA